rnacentral:rRNA from 1 species
AGAGUUUGAUCCUGGCUCAGGAUGAACGCUGGCGGCGUGCUUAACACAUGCAAGUCGAACGAACCUUCGGGUUAGUGGCGGACGGGUGAGUAACGCGUGAGAAUCUGCCCUCAGGAGGGGGAUAACGGCUGGAAACGGCCGCUAAUACCCCAUAUGCCGAGAGGUGAAACGAGUUUUCGCCUGAGGAUGAGCUCGCGUCUGAUUAGCUAGUUGGUGGGGUAAGAGCCUACCAAGGCAUCGAUCAGUAGCUGGUCUGAGAGGAUGAUCAGCCACACUGGGACUGAGACACGGCCCAGACUCCUACGGGAGGCAGCAGUGGGGAAUUUUCCGCAAUGGGCGAAAGCCUGACGGAGCAACGCCGCGUGAGGGAUGAAGGCCUCUGGGCUGUAAACCUCUUUUAUCAAGGAAGAAGAUCUGACGGUACUUGAUGAAUAAGCCACGGCUAAUUCCGUGCCAGCAGCCGCGGUAAUACGGGAGUGGCAAGCGUUAUCCGGAAUUAUUGGGCGUAAAGCGUCCGCAGGCGGCCUGAUAAGUCUGUUGUCAAAGCGUGGAGCUCAACUCCAUUUCGGCAAUGGAAACUGUGAGGCUUGAGUGUGGUAGGGGCAGAGGGAAUUCCCGGUGUAGCGGUGAAAUGCGUAGAUAUCGGGAAGAACACCAGUGGCGAAGGCGCUCUGCUGGGCCAUAACUGACGCUCAUGGACGAAAGCCAGGGGAGCGAAAGGGAUUAGAUACCCCUGUAGUCCUGGCCGUAAACGAUGAACACUAGGUGUCGGGGGAAUCGACCCCCUCGGUGUCGUAGCCAACGCGUUAAGUGUUCCGCCUGGGGAGUACGCACGCAAGUGUGAAACUCAAAGGAAUUGACGGGGGCCCGCACAAGCGGUGGAGUAUGUGGUUUAAUUCGAUGCAACGCGAAGAACCUUACCAGGGUUUGACAUCCUGCGAAUCCCUUGGAAACGAGGGAGUGCCUUCGGGAGCGCAGAGACAGGUGGUGCAUGGCUGUCGUCAGCUCGUGUCGUGAGAUGUUGGGUUAAGUCCCGCAACGAGCGCAACCCACGUCUUUAGUUGCCAGCAUUGAGUUGGGCACUCUAGAGAGACCGCCGGUGAUAAACCGGAGGAAGGUGUGGAUGACGUCAAGUCAUCAUGCCCCUUACAUCCUGGGCUACACACGUACUACAAUGCUACGGACAAAGGGCAGCAAACUCGCGAGAGCUAGCAAAUCCCAUAAACCGUGGCUCAGUUCAGAUCGUAGGCUGCAACUUGCCUACGUGAAGGAGGAAUCGCUAGUAAUCGCAGGUCAGCAUACUGCGGUGAAUACGUUCCCGGGCCUUGUACACACCGCCCGUCACACCAUGGAAGUUGGCCACGCCCGAAGCCGUUACUCCAACCCUUGUGGAGGAGGACGUCGAAGGUGGGGCUGAUGACUGGGGUGAAGUCGUAACAAGGUA